rnacentral:rRNA from 1 species
GUGGGGAAUAUUGGACAAUGGGCGCAAGCCUGAUCCAGCCAUGCCGCGUGAGUGAUGAAGGCCCUAGGGUUGUAAAGCUCUUUCACCGGUGAAGAUAAUGACGGUAACCGGAGAAGAAGCCCCGGCUAACUUCGUGCCAGCAGCCGCGGUAAUACGAAGGGGGCUAGCGUUGUUCGGAAUUACUGGGCGUAAAGCGCACGUAGGCGGGGAUUUAAGUCAGGGGUGAAAUCCCGGAGCUCAACUCCGGAACUGCCUUUGAUACUGGGUACCUAGGGUAUGGAAGAGGUAAGUGGAAUUCCGAGUGUAGAGGUGAAAUUCGUAGAUAGUCGGAGGAACACCAGUGGCGAAGGCGGCUUACUGGUCCAUUACUGACGCUGAGGUGCGAAAGCGUGGGGAGCAAACAGGAUUAGAAACCCCGGUAGUCC